CAGGGAAUUUUGCGCAAUGGGCUAACGCCUGACGCAGCGACGCCGCGUGGGGGAAGAAGGCCUUCGGGUUGUAAACUCCUUUUCUGGGGGAAGAGAGCGGACGGUACCCCAGGAAUAAGCCCCGGCUAACUACGUGCCAGCAGCCGCGGUAAUACGUAGGGGGCGAGCGUUGUCCGGAAUUAUUGGGCGUAAAGGGCGCGUAGGCGGCAUAGGAAGUCCUCGGUGAAAUCUCUCGGCUCAACUGAGAGCGGUCCGAGGAAACUCCUAAGCUAGAGGACGGCAGAGGAGGGUGGAAUUCCCGGUGUAGUGGUGAAAUGCGUAGAUAUCGGGAGGAACACCAGUGGCGAAGGCGGCCCUCUGGGCUGUACCUGACGCUGAGGCGCGAAAGCGUGGGGAGCGAACCGG
rnacentral:rRNA from 1 species